rnacentral:lncRNA from 1 species
AAACAUGUAUAGUCGAUUAAAAACGUCAUAGUAUGCAAAGAUAAAAUAUAAGUACAUAGUCUCGACUGGACUUCUACAAUAUAGAAUAAGGAGGUGUGGUUUUAUUCCAAAUACAGACAUCAAUCCACCAGAGUUCAUAUAACAUGGACUAGUAUAUAUUUUUGUUCAGGGGUCAGCUGAAGCACGCCUCCGGGUGCGGGAGUUUCUCGCUGCAUUGAUGACCUAUUGCCAAUUUGGUGGCCUUCGGCUGAUUUCUGCUCUUUGGUCGGGUUGUUGUCUCUUUGGCACAUUCCCCACUUCCAUUUUCAAUUUUAUGUCACUGAACGGAAUUCAAAGGAAGAUAACAAAAAAAAAAUUAAAAAAAAACUAUUCUGUAAAGUUAGCUAUACAGAAAAACAACCACCACCCUUUUUUUCGACAUAUCAAAACGUUAAACAAAUCAAACUAUUUAUAAUUAAACGAAGAUGGCGAAUAGCAACCAAUAACAAACACUAAACAAUAGCUACAAUCACUUUACAAAGAACCAACGACAAACACUAAACAAUAGCUACAAUCAUUUUACAAAGAACCAACAACAAACACUAAAAAAUAGCUAUAAUCACUUUACAAAGAACCAACUACAAACACUAAACAAUAGCUACUAUCACUUUACAAAGAACCAACUACAAACACUAAACAAUAGCUACAAUCACUUUACAAAGAACCAACAACAAACACUAAACAAUAGCUACAAUCACUUUACAAAGAACCAACGACAAACACUAAACAAUAGCUACAAUCACUUCCCAAAGAACCAACGACAAACACUAAACAAUAGCUACAAUCACUUUCCAAAGAACCAACGACAAACACUAAACAAUAGCUACAAUCACUUUACAAAGAACCAACUACAAACACUAAACAAUAGCUACAAUCAAUUUACAAAGAACCAACUACAAACACUAAACAAUAGCUACAAUCACUUUACAAAGA